GUCUAUGGCCAUGCUAUCGUGAACAUGCCCAAUCCUGUCUGAUUUUGGAAGCUAAGCAGGGUCGGGCCUGGUUAGUACUUGAACGGGAGACCACCUAGGAAGACCAAGUGCUGUAGGCA
rnacentral:rRNA from 1 species